rnacentral:rRNA from 1 species
UACGUAGGGUGCAAGCGUUUAAUCGGAAUUACUGGGCGUAAAGCGUGCGCAGGCGGUUGUGCAAGACCGAUGUGAAAUCCCCGGGCUUAACCUGGGAAUGGCAUUGGUGACUGCAAGGCUGGAGUGCGGCAGAGGAGACUGGAAUUCCUGGUGUAGCAGUGAAAUGCGUAGAUAUCAGGAGGAAUACCGAUGGCGAAGGCAGGUCUCUGGGCCGUAACUGACGCUGAGGAGCGAAAGCAUGGGGAGCGAACAGG